rnacentral:lncRNA from 3 species
AGAGAAGGAGGCCAGUGCUACCAGGGUUAUCUCGCAGCCUCAGAUGUUGGAUAAGUCGAAGGAGGCAGGAUCGCUUCAGGAUGACAUUCAGAAAGGCCGGAGUGAUUAUUGGGAAGAGAAAAGCCUACCUAUUCUUUUCUAAGGUAAACAGUUUAUUUCAUCUGGC